rnacentral:rRNA from 1 species
AGAUUGAACGCUGGCGGCAUGCUUUACACAUGCAAGUCGAACGGCAGCACGGGGGCAACCCUGGUGGCGAGUGGCGAACGGGUGAGUAAUGCAUCGGAACGUAUCUUUAAGUGGGGGAUAACGCAUCGAAAGAUGCGCUAAUACCGCAUAAUCUCUGAGGAGAAAAGCAGGGGAUCGCAAGACCUUGCGCUUUUGGAGCGGCCGAUGUCUGAUUUAGCUAGUUGGUGGGUAAAGGCUUACCAAGGCUUCGAUCAGUAGCUGGUCUGAGAGGACGACCAGCCACACUGGGACUGAGACACGGCCCAGACUCCUACGGGAGCAGCAGUGGGAAUUUGGACAAUGGGGAAACCUGAUCCAGCCAUGCCGCGUGAGUGAAGAAGGCCUUCGGUUGUAAAGCUCUUUCAGCCGAACGAAACGGUUACGUUAAUAACCGUGACUAACUGAACGGUAACCGGUAAGAAGAAGACAACCGGACUAACCGUAACGUUAGCCGAACGCGAACGACGGCGGUAAAGU